rnacentral:rRNA from 1 species
GAUGAACGCUGGCGGCAUGCCUAACACAUGCAAGUCGAACGGUAAAAGGAAGCAGCUUGCUGUUUCGCUGGCGAGACGCGGACGGGUGAGUAAUGUAAGGGACGCUGACUGAUGGAGGGGGAAAAGUACUGGAAACGGUAUAUAAGACAGCAUAAUGUAGCAAGACCAAGGAGGGGGAAUGACGGGCCGCUUUUCAUUGGAUUUGCCCGGUUGGGAUUUGCUUGUUGGUGGGGUGACGGCUCACCCAGGCGAAGGUCCGUAGCCGGUCUGAGAGGAUGACAGGCGACACUGGAACUGAGACACGGUCCAGACUCCUACGGGAGGCAGCAGUGGGGAAUAGUGCGCAAUGGGAGGAAGCCUGCCGCAGCCAUGCCGCGUGUGUGAAGAAGGCCCUCGGGUUGUAAAGUACUUUUAGCGGGGAGGAACGGAGUUGAGUAAAUACCAUUGCUAAUUGACGGUACCUGCAGAAGAAGCACCGGCUAACUACGUG